rnacentral:rRNA from 1 species
GGCGGCGUGCUUAACACAUGCAAGUCGAGCGGUAAGGCCCUUCGGGGUACACGAGCGGCGAACGGGUGAGUAACACGUGAGCAACCUGCCCCUGACUCUGGGAUAAGCGGUGGAAACGCCGUCUAAUACCGGAUACGACCUUUCAGCUCAUGCUGGAGGGUGGAAAGUUUUAUCGGUCAGGGAUGGGCUCGCGGCCUAUCAGCUUGUUGGUGGGGUAAAGGCCUACCAAGGCGAUUACGGGUAGCCGGCCUGAGAGGGCGACCGGCCACACUGGGACUGAGACACGGCCCAGACUCCUGCGGGAGGCAGCAGUGGGGAAUAUUGCACAAUGGGCGAAAGCCUGAUGCAGCGACGCCGCGUGGGGGAUGACGGCCUUCGGGUUGUAAACCUCUUUUACCACCAACGCAGGCUCCACGUUCUCGUGGGGUUGACGGUAGGUGGGGAAUAAGGACCGGCUAACUACGUGCCAGCAGCCGCGGUAAUACGUAGGGUCCGAGCGUUGUCCGGAAUUAUUGGGCGUAAAGAGCUCGUAGGCGGCGUGUCACGUCUGCUGUGAAAGACCGGGGCUUAACUCCGGUUCUGCAGUGGAUACGGGCAUGC